rnacentral:rRNA from 1 species
UUCAAAUUUUUAAGAGCAAACGGUGGAUGCCUUGGCAUCUGGAGCCGAAGAAGGACGUAGUAAUCUGCGAUAAGCCUCGGGGAGCUGAUAAACGAGCUGUGAUCCGAGGAUGUCCGAAUGGGGAAACCCCGCCACGGGCUGCAAGGUUACGUGGUGACUCCCGCCUGAAUAUAUAGGGCGGGUAGAGGGAACGUGGGGAAGUGAAACAUCUCAGUACCCACAGGAAGAGAAAACAACAGUGAUUCCGUUAGUAGUGGCGAGCGAACGCGGAAGAGGCUAAACCGGGCAUGUGUGAUAGCCGGCAGGCGUUGCAUGUUCGGGGUUGUGGGACUUUCCAUGAAUCUCUGCCGAGAUUCGAACAUUAGAGAGCGGUAUAGACGAAUGGUCUUGAAAGGCCAGCCAGAGUGGGUGCCAGCCCCGUAGUCGAAAUGCU